GACAGAGGGUGCAAACGUUUGUUCGGAAUUACUGGGCGUAAAGAGCGCGCAGGCGGUCGAUCAAGUCGAGUGUGAAAGCCCCCGGCUCAACUGGGGAGGGUCAUUCGAUACUGAUCGACUCGAAGGCAGGAGAGGGUAGUGGAAUUCCCGGUGUAGUGGUGAAAUGCGUAGAUAUCGGGAGGAACACCAGUGGCGAAGGCGACUACCUGGCCUGUUCUUGACGCUGAGGCGCGAAAGCUAGGGGAGCAAACGGGG
rnacentral:rRNA from 1 species